CCAAGGCAGCAGAUGGUCCACGCACCAAUCCCUCCAGCGUGAAAACAUUUCUGUACUUGUCAGGACCUUAAACUGCACCCUGUUCUAUUUGAUUAUUUUCAAAGUCUGAGCUGGCCACAGGGGCUCAGAUGAGAAAGAUUUGCAAAUCAGGAGGGAAAGAUAAAAGCAGAAAUGAAGGCAUUUCCAACUGCAUUGGAAAGAAAAACCUAUGGAAAAGCUUAAUGGUUCUCUUCGAUUAACCUGGGCAAAGGUUGGAGGGAAAACAUACUGCCUUCUGUGAUUCCAAUUAUGAAUGUUUAAUAAGCUCACUUUUGAAGAACACUUUGCAUAGGAGAAGUGGCUGGUGUUGCAUUACAGGAGAAAUAGAUGCAAAUGUGGAAAAGACUUUGAGAAAAUCUAUGACAACUUGCAAGAGAUAAUAAAUGCAACAUCUGGACCUGAUGGGCUGCUGCUAAUAGAACUAUUCCUUUGUGCCCCAUGAUUAUUUUCAAAGUACCAAAAUGCAGGCCUGAUCUAGAGGGACAUGCAGAAGAAAUAGCUGAACUUGGAAGAGAAAGUUAAGUAGCCUAUAUAUUUAUUUUAAAGUUAUUCUAUGGUGAUUUUAAAAAAUAUUUUGGAGCCUUUUUUAGUGUCGGGAAACAAUCCUUCCUGCCUAUAGGUGCCAAUGAUUUCCCAUAACCCUGAGGAGAAUCUUAUAGUGGCUGAUGUCAGUAAAGAUGAUCAAGAGUUGGAUAAACAGAUAAGAAGCUUCAUAUCUCUACCCAACCUUCUGAUAUCAACAAGAUCUCCAUUUUUCAACAAGCAGCCUAGUGGGAAUAACUAAAUUUCAAAGGAAUGUAUUACUUCUAGGGACGGUGGCACCAUUUUGCCUACCUCAUAAGCCAUUUUUUAAUGUUGACACCCAUAGCACUUGCUAUUACUAGUCACAUUUUGAGGCUGCCCAACUUCUUGACGACUGUGGGGGCUUACAUUUCAAAGAAAACAACACAUAUAAAAAAAUCAUGUCCAAUUGGGAGAACAGUGGAGGAGAAGGAAGACAGCCAAAUUUUAUUCCUGUUCUGUCUGCAUAUGUCCCAGGUAAUAGUCUCUGCAGAGGCUGUAAAACUCUCAAUGGAAAAAAAAGGGGCUCUUUCAACAGCGUCCGCAUAAGCAGUAUCUGCAAUGAUAGCAACGACAAUAUUCAAGGAUAUUAACCGCACAAAAAUUGCAAUUAUGUAAUGAAUGAUACAAGUAGAUAUGUCAAAUUAUAUUAUGGUAUGAUGUCAACACGUACAUUUUAUCCCAUGUUUAUUCCAUGGAGACUCAUGUGCCCAUUCUUGUUCUAAAUAUGCAGAAUACAAUCUUGCUAGCUGUUGUGACUCGUCCUUCCUCCUCUCCUCAGCCGGGCCCCUCCCAUCGCCAACCGGGCCUGUUAUCAGACUCUGAGUCUGAUAAUGAAGAUGAACGGCCUGUCAUGCCUCCAGCCCCCGGCCCUGGCCCCAUGCCCGGAGAGGAUUCCAGGAGUGAACAAACAAGCCCGAUAAACCUCACUCCAUACGGCCGUAUGGAAUUGCUUGGGCCUACUCCUUCUGACCCCUCCCUUUCCCAAACAGCAGAAGACAAUUCAAAGUGGGAGGAUCCUCGCUUCCGGAGAUCUGAGAGGCGACGCCAGCAGAAGGAAGGGAGGGGCAAGCCUGGAUAAAUGCUGAGUCAUGGAGCCACACCCCAGCCUAUAUAAAGGACCUGCUUUUGGCAUUCCAACCUUGAGUCAAGCAAAGUCUUAUUGAGUUUGCUGAUACCGGACCCUAUCGCUGAAGUCACAACUUGGACUCCUGCCUGCCCUGAUAAACCUCGAAGGGACUUCACAAGCUGCAGAGGCUUCGUUGCCAAGUUUGCCACGGACUUCCUUGACUCGUUCGUCAGAGUGGGGGGUGGGACACGACACUAGCAUUAUAUUAUCAUUGCAGUAAAAUACUGAGCUUUGUUUAGAAGACAGUGCAGAUCCUGAGACACCACUAAGCCCCUGCAACUGACAGCUCAAUGCUGUAGGUGAUAAAUGUUUGUACUCUGUGAAUUCCAGCCUUCAAUAUCCUAUAGAGAUCAUUUUUCUAGAGCAACUGGAGAGUGAGGAACUGAGAAGUUUAUGAACACGGAUCCCAUACAGACUUUACUUCGGCAUAUAAGAGUGCCAAAAAUCCUUAGAAAAUGUGCUUAUUUGAUGCCACUUCAGUUCAAAUCAAUAGAAUUUUAAAAUAUUUUAUCAAUGUCCUACAAUGUAGAAUAACCCCACGUAAUUACUGAGAAUUUACAUUUGUGAUGUUCAGUUGAUAAUAAAUCAAGAGAAUUCCUCAGCUUUAUGACCUUAACCUUUAAGUCACUAACCUCUCUCUCAAGCCAAUUUGCUCUUUUUCUGAACUUUGCAAAACUUUUGCAUUAACCUUCUAGUAUAUCCUUCCUCUUACAGAGCUAUUUGGUUAAUUUCUUUCAUCACUCUGAACUUUUUCUGGGGCCUUUGCCACUGGGGAACAAUAAAUUGCAGAUUAGUUACCCAAUUGCAGGUCCUCUGCAAUCACCAGUGGAGGUGUGUGCUUAUUUUCCCCUGCUGAAUCAAAUAACCAGACUUCCUGCUCUGUAAAAAUACAGACUAUGUUAUGAUGGGAGACCAUUCUGUGCACAAUCUUUUUGGCCAAAACAAAAUAAAAACUUUACAUUGAGUAUUAUACCUAGGAAACAGCUUUCUUCCCAUCCCAUUCAUUUAAUUGUAAAUGCAAUCAAAAGAGUAAUGAUUCUUGAUGGUAAUAUUUCUGUCAGAUAGUUUUUCCAGUUGACAAAGUGGAAAAUUUGCUUUUUCAAUUAUGUUACAGACUGAAGUGGCCAGCUAUAACUUCUACUUCCCAAAGUAUUACAUUUGUCAAUUAAUGAAACAGGAAUUCAUUAUUUGUUUGUUUGUUCCAUUUUUAGAACACCCCUUCAUCAGCACAAAGUACAACAAAUAGCAAGUAUUUUAUUAGCAUAUGUCAGAAAGCACCAAUUGACCACAAGGGCAAGUAAAUUAUGGAAAUGCAACUAGUGCAAAAAGAUUGAACAUCUUGAGAUACCGGUAUUAAAAAGCAAUUGUCAAAGGCAACGGGAGUUCAAUCCUUUAUAGGAGAGAUUUUUAAGCUGUGGAUUGUCACCUCCACAAGCAUCAUUAGCAACUAUGAAGAAGGUUGAAUUUCUUUUAAUUGCUCCAGGCAUGAUAAUUUUGCUCAGACUUUUGAAUAUUAGUAAGUUUAUAAACUGGUUCCCUCUUGCCUUUUUUCCCCCUCUAAUAAGCCACCAACCAUUCUGCAUCUUUUGAAUUAUUUUUAUGUUACAGAAACUUAUUUUGAAAUGAACUUUUAAAAAGUGUUUCAUAUCUCUUUAUUAUGGUUUAAUGAUGAAUGAUUAUGGUUCAAAAUCUACCGGUAUUUCAAAAUAUUGAUAAAAGUAUUUGUAAUUUGCUUGGAUGACGGUGUAAUGUAUUUGGUGAGUUGGGAUUUCAAUACAGAAAUGUAUUUAUUUGUAUCCCACCAUUAUUAUUUUUACAAAUAGCUCCAAGUGGUGAAUCUCUUCCUCUUAUUUUUUCCACAACAACAAUCCUGUGAGGUGGGCUGGGCUGAGAGAGAGAAUGAUUGGUCCAAGGUUAGCCAGAUGGUUUUCAUGACUAAGGCAGAAUUUGAACUCAUGGUUUCCAGCUUUCUAGCCUCAUACUUUAACCAUCCACUUAACCAUUGCAUAAAACUGGUUCUGUAUGGGUGACAGAUUCAUUUUUGAAGCAAGAAACAACUUUGUUCACAUGGUACACUAUUAUCUGAUAGUGCCAACCAUUAAGAUUGUUCACCAUUUUUUGAGUUCAUCUUAUGUAAAUACUUUUGUUUCUCCAUCAAUGUGGAAUACAGUAAUAGAUUUGUACUUUUUGGAUUGUCUGUAGAAAUACACACCUUAGCGAAGUUCAAUGUUUUAAAUUGUAUACCAAUUCUGUCAUUCUAUUUAUUUAGUAUGCCCAUAACAAUUCAUUAUUAAAUGUAAAUGGUUUACUUAUGUCUUGUCCAAUCUUAUCCUGAUGAAAUUAUUACUUGGAGAAAAGUGGUCAUGGUUUGGUAAAAUUUGAGAAUUCAUUUUAUACUUAGUUUGGCAAUUUUCUUGUUCUUGACAUAUCAGGUUCACCCUCAUCUAUUUAUUUGUCUCUUGUGUGUACAGAUGGUCUUGGUUCUUAUAAUUCUUGGAAGCUCAGAAUUCAUAUAUGUUGUUCUAGAAUAAGAAUGUCUGAUCUGAGUUUUUGUAAAGUAUAAUUUCAAUUUUGUUCUUCUAUACCAUGGGUGUCAAACUCAAGGCCUAGGGGCUGGAUCAGGCCCAUGGGGUGCUUAGAUCUGGCCUAGAAACAAUGAAGGACCGGUCCAUGGUGCC